rnacentral:tRNA from 1 species
GGGAGCAGACAUGGCUGACUGGUUACGACGUUUGCUUUGUAAGUGAAUGGUUCUGGGUCCGAUUCCCAUCUGCUCUCA